AGGACGAACGCUUGCGGCGUGCCUAAGAAAUGCAAGUCGAACGGGAAGAGUAAUCUUCUAGUGGCGAACGGUCGCGUAACACGUAGGCAACCUGCCUCGAAGUGGGGGACAACAGCCUGAAAGGGCUGCUAAUACCGCAUGUGAACAUGUUAGGGCAUCCUUCUAUGUUCAAAGCCUUGUGCGCUUCGAGAUGGGCUUGCGGCCUAUCAGGUAGUUGGUGGGGUAAUGGCCUACCAAGCCGACGACGGGUAGCUGGUCUGAGAGGACGAUCAGCCGGAUUGGGACUGAGAUACGGCCCAGACUCCUACGGGGGGCAGCAAUUAGGAAUCUUGCGCAAUGGGGGAAACCCUGACGCAGCGACGCCGCGUGUGGGAUGACGGCCUUCGGUUGUAACCACUUUGCCGGGAGAAGCAAGUGACGGUACCCGGUGAAUAAGCCCGGCUAACUACGUGCCAGCAGCCGC
rnacentral:rRNA from 1 species